UACGUAGGUGGCGAGCGUUGUCCGGAAUCACUGGGCGUAAAGGGUGCGUAGGCGGGUUUUUAAGUCGGAGGUGAAAUCCUGGAGCUCAACUCCAGAACUGCCUUUGAUACUGAAAGUCUUGAGUAUGGGAGAGGUGAGUGGAACUGCGAGUGUAGAGGUGAAAUUCGUAGAUAUUCGCAAGAACACCAGUGGCGAAGGCGGCUCACUGGCCCAUUACUGACGCUGAGGCACGAAAGCGUGGGGAGCAAACAGG
rnacentral:rRNA from 1 species